GAGGUAUUGUUAACCUAUUAUCCACAACUUUUCAAAAGUAUCUUUACAAAGAUAAUUGUGCUUUCAAAUCAUCUAAAAUAAAUGGCUCUAAAGUAGCUUCAUAUUCUCCUGGCCUAUAUCCUUUUUCAAAUGUGAUACGUUUUAGUUCUUCCAUUGACUGGUUUUCCUUUUUUGUUAGGUCGAAUCAAAUAUUCGGAACAGGUGUAUGAUGCCUGUAUGGAGACAUUUGACUGUCUUCCUCUUGCUGCCCUCUUAAACCAGCAGUUUCUCUGUGUACAUGGAGGAAUGUCACCUGAAAUUACUUCUUUAGAUGACAUUAGGAAAUUAGACAGGUUUACGGAACCUCCCGCCUUUGGACCUGUGUGUGACCUGCUUUGGUCUGAUCCCUCAGAGGAUUAUGGCAAUGAGAAGACCUUGGAGCACUAUACCCACAACACUGUCCGAGGGUGCUCUUAUUUCUACAGUUACCCUGCAGUUUGUGAAUUUUUGCAGAACAAUAAUUUACUAUCAAUUAUCAGAGCCCAUGAAGCCCAAGAUGCUGGGUAUCGAAUGUACAGGAAGAGCCAAGCCACAGGCUUUCCAUCACUUAUUACAAUUUUCUCUGCCCCCAAUUACCUAG
rnacentral:lncRNA from 10 species